rnacentral:rRNA from 1 species
GACGAAGGUGGCGAGCGUUGUUCGGAAUCACUGGGCAUAAAGCGCACGUAGGCGCUGUCGUAAGUCGGGUGUGAAAUCCCUCGGCCUAACCGAGGAACUGCGCCCGAUACUGCGAUGCUUGAGGACCAGAGGGGUGCAUGGAAUUUCCGGUGGAGCGGUGAAAUGCGUUGAUAUCGGAAGGAACUCCGGCGGCGAAAGCGAUGCACUGGCUGGUUUCUGACGCUGAGGUGCGAAAGCCAGGGGAGCAAACGGG